rnacentral:rRNA from 1 species
AGUCGAACGCGAAAGUCUCUUCGGAGAUGAGUAGAGUGGCGCACGGGUGAGUAACGCGUGGAUUAUCUACCUAUUGAUACGGGACAACAGUUGGAAACGACUGCUAAUACCGUAUAAGCUGGUAACGGGAAAGGGGGCCUCUUCUUGAAAGCUCUCGCCAGUAGAUGAGUCCGCGUUUCAUUAGCUAGACGGUGGGGUAACGGCCUACCGUGGCAACGAUGAAUAGCAGGCCUGAGAGGGUGGCCUGCCACACUGGGACUGGAACACGGCCCAGACUCCUACGGGAGGCAGCAGUGGGGAAUAUUGCGCAAUGGACGAAAGUCUGACGCAGCGACGCCGCGUGGAGGAUGAAGGUUUUCGGAUCGUAAACUCCUGUCAAGAGGGAAGAAACCUAUUAGGAAUAAUACUCCUAGUAAUUGACGGUACCUCUAGAGGAAGCACCGGCUAAUUCAGUGCCAGCAGCCGCGGUAAUACUGAAGGUGCAAGCGUUAAUCGGAAUCACUGGGCGUAAAGCGCUC